CGCUUUAAAUGCGGACAGAGACGCGUACUAAUAGAGUGACGGACGUCAGUUAGCGUUCUCCGUAGACUGAGCGUUUGAGAAGCGACAGAGAAGAGGUCCAUUACAGAUCUGGAUCCGAACUGUGUUGCUUAGUGCUGCUCUCUUCCUCUGCAGGUGUUCGUGGCUCUUGGCUCAGACCAUCCCUAACCCUAAGGAGGAAAGCGUGUCGAACCCACGCGGAGUUAGCGCGCGGAAGGACGGCCUUCGGUAACGUCGUCGGUAGGGGCGAGUCGCACGGUCCCGCGGGAGGUCAGGUCUGUGUCGUUGAGCAAAACCUCCCCGUGUUCGGAGGAGAAUCGCGCGCUCGGGAAAGCGCAAGGGCGGAGCGACACUUCCUUCAGCCGUUGAGAGCGGUUAAGGCAUCUCUUUCCAAGCACAUCAUCAGAAAUGGGUGCCUCUUGGUCCUCUUGCCGAAUAUUCACAAUUCGGACCCCCAGAAAGUGACAGGCAGGAGAACAUGAGCAUCGCUGCAAGAGUUUCACAAGUUCUGGUCAGAGUUUUGUGGCUUUUAUGAGAUAACAGGCCUGUGAGGAACGGAACAGGUACGGCGAAGGCCUGCAAAUGUUUUUUUACCCCUCAAGGAGGUGAGCUUUAAUUUUGCUCCAACAAAGCGUAGCGCAGUAAUCCGUGUUCCGAGCGCACUGUUUUACACGAAGGUGAAAGAGAAAAGUCAACGUUACACGAAGUGUCGCAAACAGCGGGCAUUAACAGAGUCGUUAAUGUGUGUGUUUACACAGGGCAGUACACUUCCAUUGUGGGCGACAAGUCAAACAUUGAACUAGACAAAUAGGUUAUACGACGCAGGUAAACAACGGUGACACAGGUAAUGUGAUCCGCGGAUGAUUAGAGCUCGCGAGCUCGGCGUCGGUGAAAUAUUUGCCCUCGGCCUUGAAUUAUUUUAUUUAUUUUCGGUGCGGAAACGGCGGGGCACCUCGAAGAGGCGCGUUGCGCGGUGACCGUGCGCGACCCGCGCUCGCCGUGACCCCUGCCCUUUGCGUGACGACGUGAUCCAGGCAGCCGUGACGCAGAACUCGCAGAACUGGCAGAGCUCGACCGCCGCCGAACCGAAGCAAACGGAAGCGCUUUGCUCCGCCGCUCGUACCUCGGAGUCGAGAGCCGAAAGCAUCGCCUUCGCGAACCCGCUUCCGUGUGAACGAGCAGGAUUUUCUUCAGCUGAAUCGCUGACCGCCCUUCCAGAAGGAACCCGACGCCACAGGCAGAUGACAUAUGGAGUCAUUCAGUUAAAGGAAACACGCAGACCUCCUGGGGGGCCUUUAACAGUGUUCUCGCCAUAAGUGAAAAUGUUCCCAACAUACGGAAGCCAGCCGUGUCCAGGGAAGAGAGCUGAGAGCGCGAGAAAGACAAGUGGACGUAACCGGCCCCUUCCUCUGCGUUUCGGUGUGCCGCAGGAGCCGUUUGAUUCGCUCCGCCGGUAACCGAGCCGUUUCGGGGUCGCCGAACAAGUCCUGACCCCCGCCGACGGCCGCUGACGGACGGGCGAGGAGAGCGCGACCAUCGGUCGCUCGGCCGUCCCGCAGGUAAGCCGCGUACGUAAACGAGAGCGCGGCCUUGAAAUAACGGGCGGCAAUAACAAGGAGCGCCGCCCGGGCACCCGGUGAAUCCCCGUUGCACGCCGCGUUGUACUUCGCACAAAGGAUGUUUGACUUUCUUCGCCGGGGCAUGAACGUGUGAAGGAACAAAAUAAAAGUGCUCCGUAUUUAUCGCCACGGUUUGGUUCGCCGACAGAAUGCAAUGCUCUUAUGCAAACACGACGCCCAGAUAAGAGGGUAUUAAUGCAGCCAUUAGCAAAUGUGAGGGAGAAAGGCUGUUUAGAAAGCCACAAGCCCACGUGAUGUUUGUUCAAACGGCGCUUAAAGGCCGCCUGCUUAAACGGAACAAAGACGGAAGGGAAGGUCAAUAUUUUCACAGGCAGCGCUGGAACGAGCGCCGGCGGAGCUGCAGGCCGCCUGAAAGCGGUUCCUCUGCCCCCUUUCAGAGCCCGUGUUCUCAGGGCAAACACGCCAAAUACUUCCUUACACACAGGGUGACGGGCUCUAACAAUUGUAACUGAACAACGUGUAUUUAUGAAUAUGCAGAGAUUCAAAACUGCGGAAUGGCCGUGAACGCUGCUGCGGAUAAAACCGCCGGCUCUUCCCGGCGCAAGGUUGUCGAACCUCGAACUGCUUAAUUACGCUUAGUAGCACGGUAGUGGUAAUGACCAGGGUAAAUCAGUGGGAAAAUGAAGCGUUUGAUCGUUCGCUGCAAGAACAUCUAUAUUUCCUUAAGCAGGUAAUUAUGUCUCCAAAGCAGAACUCCCCCAAAGGGCAGGUCUAGAACAAAGAAGGUGGAUCUUAUUUAUAAUUGGUUUUGACAGUUUGUGAGAGAACGAAAUUCUCUUAAGGAAUCUGCUUGAGGCCUAAGCACUUUUGGCUGUCAAACAGAUAAGCGUACAAGUUGCAUUUUGAUUCGCGUUGACUCUCACUCGCAUCUGACAGCGUGCUGGGAGAUCUCUCGCAUGUUAUAUUCAAUAAUAAAUGGAAUAUUUACGCACGUACCCACCAGGGCAGUUAUAGCGCCAUGUUUCUUUGUGAUGUUAAGCCAACUUAGCGGUCUUGGUGUAAUGAACUCAUUGUAUUUUUCUCUGAGAAAAGCACCUGGUAGAAAAGCAUCUGCUAAACCAAUUAAUGAAAACGUAAGUCUUACCAAAUAUGGCAGCCCAGAAAAUUAUACCAAAAGGGGCAGGAGGUAGCACAGUGGUUAAGGAUUUCAGCCUUAAUGCUGACAGUCCUUGGUUUGAAUCCCUCUCCUACUCUAGUUGCCUGAAUAAACUGGUACACAAGGAUAAGUUGCUGUGAUAAAGGUGUUGCUUAAAUGGCGCAUUAAUAAUUUUCAAACCUUUUUAUUGCUCCCCUUUUAAGCAUGUGCAUUAAUGCUGCGCCUCCUGGCAGCGCGCUGCUGCCACCUAGCGGCGAAACACCGUGUUAUAGGCAGGUUCGUACUGUCUAGUGAUGGAGAAGUUUACUCACUGCAAACACUUCAUCUGCUGGCAGCACCAUGUUACCACCACAUUGAUGAACAUGUUUCAUUAUGUUUAUAGUGCAAAAGAGGCAUUCGAAAAUGCUCACUCAAGCGCGAGAAGUGGAAAAGAAAAGUAGCUUAGCACAAAGCUCAAGCGUAUAUGGCGUUGAUGCAAAAAAUCACUGCUGUUCACUUCAAAAAUACUCAAGUGUGAUUGAAUAUUUUUGAAGCGACCAGCAGUGAUUUUUGGGACAAAGCCAAAUAUAAAUUUGAACUUUGAACUAUUUUUCAGACUGGAUAAUGUAUCAUCACUGAGUAAGUGUACCAAUGCAAAGAAUCCGGAGUAUCACAUACAGCGGUAAAAUGAAACUUAGCCGUAAGUAGAAGGUAAAGCACAAAAAGUUUUUCUUCUCUACAUGCUGCCAGUAACAUGGGAAAAACUCGACUUUUCAGCACACACUUUUGUUUGUUACUGUCUGUGCCCGCACUGAGGCCAGAGUAAACACCAGCACCCGCAGAAAACUGCACCUGAGUCUUAAAAAAAUGUUUCCAUAUAAAACAAACCUGCUGCUCUGUCACUGAGCAAACAUGACUGGAUAAGGGCACAGCUUUAAAUGAAUAAAACAGUGAAAGUGCUUUGAAAAGGCUAUACAAGUACUGACAGUGACACCAUGUCCAAUUCAUUUGGAAAUGCAGGCUUAUCUCGCCAAGCAAGUACAACAUGUUUGUUAGUGCAGACCUGCUUGGAAGUAGAAUUCUCAUAAAAAGAACCCUGAUUACCAUCAAUUCAAAUUUACCGCAGAAAUGUACCUAUUUUUUGUCAAGCAUGCAAAAUCCUUGUUUUAUCUUUGAGAAGAUCUUGUUCAGAACUCAGGCCAGAAUAUCAGUACUGCUUAACCCCACACGUUCAAAAUCUCUUAUAACACAUUGACCCUUUUUUUGUUGUUUUUUUUUCAUGUUUAUCUUACUCUUCUUACUGUUUUAUUUUGCUGU